rnacentral:misc_RNA from 1 species
UCCGGUUUGUCACCGGCAGUCUCUGCAGCACCUGUGCAAAUGUUCCGAAGAAGGGCCCCUGUUUCCAGAGGCUUUCCCCUGCAUGUCAAGCCCAGGUAAGGUUCUUCGCGUUGCGUCGAAUUAAACCACAUGCUCCACCGCUUGUGCGGGCCCCCGUCAAUUCCUUUGAGUUUCAGCCUUGCGGCCGUACUCCCCAGGCGGGGCACUUAAUGCGUUAGCGCCGGCACCCAGGGGGUCGCUCCCCCAGGCACCUAGUGCCCAUCGUUUACGGCGUGGACUAC